rnacentral:lncRNA from 1 species
UUUUGAUAAAGCACGUGUAUGUGAUGCAUAGCCGUGCAUAAUCGGUCCAAUGCACGACCACCUCAAAAAAAAAUGCGAGCUUUAAAUAGCCCUUUAACUCUGUCCCUUUCCCUUACGAGCGAGAGAAGAAACAAAAAGAAGUCUUUAAUAUCAAUGCAACCCAUACAUAAGAAAGAAGUCACAAUCUCCACUCCUAUCCACCAUUGUCGGGCCCUACUCCAAUACCACCAUCACCAUCAUUGAGCCCACUCUACAAUUGCCAAUGCUUGGCUGCCCCCUACUACCUUUGUGCCAUCAGCGCCAGCAUGAGGAUAUCAAUGCAGAUGCAUUGGAGGUGACCAGUACCUUUUUUCACCCCUCUUUAUCUAUAUUUUUCUUGAGAAUCAAAGAAAGAAGGAAUUUAUCGCCUCUUUCCUCUCCGCAAUUGGUGUCGAAGCAAGCAUAUCAGAGGGUUCAUGCUAUAGCAGGGCUUCAUGAUGGCAAAUAGUGGUCUUAGGGAUAGAAAUUGAAGAAGCCCCUAUAUGUUGAUGAUGUUGAAGUCAUGAUGCUAAUAGAGGAAGGAGAGGAAGUGGAUGGCAGAAUUGGUAGCGCUCUUCCCCCCAAAUC